rnacentral:lncRNA from 1 species
CAUGCAAACAAGCCAGCACUUUGCACACAUGCUACAACAAUCGAAGGUUCCACUGCAACAACAGUCACAACAAAAUGCAUCAAAUGUGUUACCAUCCCAAACAUAGCAGCCACAAUCACAGGCUCCACAGCAACAAAUGAUGGCUCAGGUUCAAUCUCAGCCUGCACAGUUACAACAACAAUUGGGCUUGCAGCAGUAGACAAAUCCGUUGCAACGAGAUAUGCAAAGACUUCAGGCAUCAAGCUCCUUACUUCAACAACAAAGUGUUCUUGAUCAACAAAAGCAAUUAUAUCAAUCGCAGAGACCCAUUCCAGAAACUU